rnacentral:lncRNA from 1 species
AUAUAUAUAAAUAAAACCGUCAAAAAGUGCAACUAGAAUCUGCGAGGUGUGGCGAAUCGUUAACUGCUUCGAGAUAUGUAAAUUAGGGGAAAAGAUAGGGGUAAUUUUGGAAAUGUAAGUUAAGGAGAGGCAGUUAAAGGACCAAAGAAGAUUUUCUGGUAACAGAGCAGAGGAAUCCAAUGAGAGACAGUAAAAUGAACGUUUAACCGCUUUAACGGUUCAGAUCUAAUGGAAUAAAGGUAUCUCAACGGCUGAGAUUGUUCCUUCUACCAGAUUGUUGGAUCGGAACAGUGAGUCAAUUAAGGACAUCCAACGGUGAAUAUUUAAUGAAUCCUUUUGGAACCAAAAACCGACGGCAGAGAUAUACUGAGUGAGUCAACUCGUUGAGUUAAUUAGUUUCUGCUUACCUCGCCGCCAUUGUUAAGUUUUCAGAGCUCUUCAACUGCACUUUUUCCACUGUCCUGUAAAAAACCAAACCAAAAUGUAGCAUUUUUAGGCUUUUUUGUUAAUCAUUGAAAAUUAAAAUGCAUAUAAUGUUCUCCCUGAAAAAGCUAAAAUUAUAAUUUCUUUGUGCAAUAUAGAGGUUAAGGAGCAGUUCAAAACCAUGUAGUUUAAGCUUUUCUGGUUAAUUCUGAGAAAAUGCUUGUGGAACUAAAACUUCUCGGAAUUCUGCAACAGCAGAGUUUCUAGAAGAGUCUAAAGGAAAACAAACAUGGAAAAUAUCACAAAAUUAAGAAAUUACGGGAAUUAGACGGAGAGUCUAACAAAGUAGAAUUCGAAGAACUCGUAAGAAAUCAUUAAAAAACAAAGCAUAGAAAAAUAUGUAAUACAAAUUUUGAUAGUAUUUUUGAAAAUGCAGAUGAAUUUUUAUCCAGAGAAGCAAAAAAAAGUACGUUGAAUUUGUGUAAUUUUACAAAAACUUCACAGUUAAAACUCUGUUGUGAAAACGUGAAUGUAGAUGCUUUAUAGAGUUAACCAGAGAGAAAAAAAAUUCGACGGACCUGACGUCGAAACUGUCGGUAGUCUGAACACCGGCGUAAACUCCGACGAGCAGCAAAAGAAGAAGCAGAGAACUGAGACUAAAUGAAAGCAACGAACCCAUUGCCAUUUUCCGCUGCACACUUUUUCUCUUUCUCUCACUACAAUGGGAUCGGAAAAAGAAACAGAGCAAAGCAGAGGAAGAAGAAGAGAGAGAGAGUCAGAGAAGAAGGUGCAC